rnacentral:rRNA from 1 species
AUUAAACGCUGGCGGCAUGCCUUGCACAUGCAAGUCGAACGGCAGCACGGGGGCAACCCUGGUGGCGAGUGGCGGACGGGUGAGUAAAGCAUCGGAACGUAUCCUGGAGUGGGGGAUAACGUAGCGAAAGUUACGCUAAUACCGCAUAUUCUGUGAGCAGGAAAGCAGGGGAUCGCAAGACCUUGCGCUCUGGGAGCGGCCGAUGUCGGAUUAGCUAGUUGGUGGGGUAAAGGCCUACCAAGGCGACGAUCCGUAGCGGGUCUGAGAGGAUGAUCCGCCACACUGGGACUGAGACACGGCCCAGACUCCUACGGGAGGCAGCAGUGGGGAAUUUUGGACAAUGGGCGCAAGCCUGAUCCAGCCAUGCCGCGUGAGUGAAGAAGGCCUUCGGGCUGUAAAGCUCUUUCGGCGGGGAAGAAAUUGCACGGGUUAAUACCCUGUGUAGAUGACGGUACCCGAAUAAGAAGCACCGGCUAACUACGUG